UAUCUGAUGUAUAGCACCGAGUUCAGUGU
rnacentral:sRNA from 1 species